GCCCGGGUGGCGAAAUGGCAUACGCGAUGGACUCAAAAUCCAUUGACCGCAAGGUCAUGAGAGUUCGACUCUCUCCCCGGGCACCA
rnacentral:tRNA from 1 species